rnacentral:rRNA from 1 species
GUGGAUUAGAUACCCUGGUAGUCCACGCCCUAAACGAUGUCGACUGGGUGUUGGGAGAGAGAUCUCUUGGUACCGUAGCUAACGCGUGAAGUCGACCGCCUGGGGAGUACGGCCGCAAGGUUAAAACUCAAAGGAAUUGACGGGGACCCGCACAAGCGGUGGAUGAUGUGGAUUAAUUCGAUGCAACGCGAACAACCUUACCUACCCUUGACAUGUCCGGAACCCUGCUGAGAGGUGGGGGUGCCCGAAAGGGAAUCGGAACACAGGUGCUGCACGGUUGUCGACAACU